rnacentral:rRNA from 1 species
UACGAAGGGUGCUAGCGUUGUUCGGAAUUACUGGGCGUAAAGCGCACGUAGGCGGAUCGAUCAGUCAGGGGUGAAAUCCCAGAGCUCAACUCUGGAACUGCCUUUGAUACUGUCGAUCUAGAGUAUGGAAGAGGUGAGUGGAAUUCCGAGUGUAGAGGUGAAAUUCGUAGAUAUUCGGAGGAACACCAGUGGCGAAGGCGGCUCACUGGUCCAUGACUGACGCUGAGGUGCGAAAGCGUGGGGAGCAAACAGG